AGAGGAAAAGGUAACAACACAUUACAUCCUUUUUGAGUCUAUCUUCAAGCUCCCCUCUCGCUGUUUUAUUCUUAUAAGGAGAUGGACUAGGAUUAACCUGCGAAUGACUUAAGG
rnacentral:sRNA from 13 species